rnacentral:rRNA from 1 species
AUGGUUCGACGGGAUUACAAACUCGAUUCAUGGGGCGGUGCUUCGUGCCACCGGCGAGGUGGAGCACUUCCAGGUGGUCCUGCUAAUGAAGAUCAUUUCCGAGUGAUCGCCUGCGUUUAUUCGUCAGAGGCCGGCCAAUGGGGUAAUCUUAGUACCUUAACACCAACUCAAUCCUCGGCUUAUUGUACGGGCAUGCCAGCCGUGUUGGUUGGGAAUUCCUUUUACUGGCGUAUUUCUGGGAAGUUUUGUGCUAUUCUCGAGUUUGAUUUGGAGAGGCAGAGCUUAGCUGUGAUACAAGUGCCAGUUGAUGAAGAGGAUGAAUUCACUGUUAUGCGGGCCGAGGGUGGCGGGCUAGGUUUACUCUCCUUGUCAGACUUCACCGCUCAAUUAUGGAAGAGGAAGACUGAUUGUGAUGGUGUUGCAUCAUGGGGGAUGGGAAGAACUACUGAACUGGAUAAGCUACUUUUCUCGAAUUCAGGGGAGGCUGCGUACCCAUUCAUAAUAGGUACGGGCACUUUUUAUUUUCAUCACCAUGCAUUCGAAAGUGUCUAUGCUGCAGGUAAUAGCAUGCCUUUACAUUGA